rnacentral:lncRNA from 1 species
GGGUGGGCGUGGGAUGGCUUCUACAUGGAGAAAAUUCAUGAGAAGUUGCUUCUCGUGAAUUUAAAUAUGCACAGAAGAAGUGAGGUGGUGCAGGGAGAAAAGUCAAGGUGGUUUGAACCUAAUUGAGCCAACCUAAUCUAAAUAGGUUAAGCACAAUUAGAAUAAAUUAAAUCCAACUUAAUUAGGCUUAAUUAGGCUCAAUAAAAUCCUAAUCAAAUCAAAAAUUAACUAAACCUAACCCCUGAUC